AUUGAACGCUGGCGGCAUGCUUUACACAUGCAAGUCGAACGGUAACAGGCCGCAAGGUGCUGACGAGUGGCGAACGGGUGAGUAAUGCAUCGGAACGUGCCCAGUCGUGGGGGAUAACGCAGCGAAAGCUGCGCUAAUACCGCAUACGAUCUAUGGAUGAAAGCGGGGGACCGUAAGGCCUCGCGCGAUUGGAGCGGCCGAUGUCAGAUUAGGUAGUUGGUGGGGUAAAGGCUCACCAAGCCAACGAUCUGUAGCUGGUCUGAGAGGACGACCAGCCACACUGGGACUGAGACACGGCCCAGACUCCUACGGGAGGCAGCAGUGGGGAAUUUUGGACAAUGGGCGCAAGCCUGAUUCAGCAAUGCCGCGUGCAGGAAGAAGGCCUUCGGGUUGUAAACUGCUUUUGUACGGAACGAAACGGUCCUGGUUAAUACCCGGGGCUAAUGACGGUACCGUAAGAAUAAGCACCGGCUAACUACGUGCCAGCAGCCGCAGUAAAAC
rnacentral:rRNA from 1 species